rnacentral:rRNA from 1 species
CGCGCAGGUGGUUGAUUAAGUCUGAUGUGAAAGCCCACGGCUUAACCGUGGAGGGUCAUUGGAAACUGGUCGACUUGGGUGCAGAAGAGGGAAGUGGAAUUCCAUGUGUAGCGGUGAAAUGCGUAGAGAUAUGGAGGAACACCAGUGGCGAAGGCGGCUUCCUGGUCUGUAACUGACACUGAGGCGCGAAAGCGUGGGAGCAAACA